CCUAUAAGACUGGGAUAACUUCGGGAAACCGGAGCUAAUACCGGAUAACAUUUAGAACCGCAUGGUUCUAAAGUGAAAGAUGGUUUUGCUAUCACUUAUAGAUGGACCCGCGCCGUAUUAGCUAGUUGGUAAGGUAACGGCUUACCAAGGCGACGAUACGUAGCCGACCUGAGAGGGUGAUCGGCCACACUGGAACUGAGACACGGUCCAGACUCCUACGGGAGGCAGCAGUAGGGAAUCUUCCGCAAUGGGCGAAAGCCUGACGGAGCAACGCCGCGUGAGUGAUGAAGGGUUUCGGCUCGUAAAACUCUGUUAUUAGGGAAGAACAAAUGUGUAAGUAACUGUGCACAUCUUGACGGUACCUAAUCAGAAAGCCACGGCUAACUACGUGCCAGCAGCCGCGGUAAUACGUAGGUGGCAAGCGUUAUCCGGUAUUAUUGGGCGUAAAGCGCGCGUAGGCGGUUUCUUAAGUCUGAUGUGAAAGCCCACGGCUCAACCGUGGAGGGUCAUUGGAAACUGGGAAACUUGAGUGCAGAAGAGGAAAGUGGAAUUCCAUGUGUAGCGGUGAAAUGCGCAGAGAUAUGGAGGAACACCAGUGGCGAAGGCGACUUUCUGGUCUGUAACUGACGCUGAUGUGCGAAAGCGUGGGGAUCAAACAGGAUUAGAUACCCUGGUAGUCCACGCCGUAAACGAUGAGUGCCAAGUGUUAGGGGGUUUCCGCCCCUUAGUGCUGCAGCUAACGCAUUAAGCACUCCGCCUGGGGAGUACGACCGCAAGGUUGAAACUCAAA
rnacentral:rRNA from 1 species